UACGUAGGUGGCAAGCGUUGUCCGGAUUUACUGGGCGUAAAGGGAGCGUAGGCGGAUACUUAAGUGGGAUGUGAAAUACCUGGGCUUAACUUGGGUGCUGCAUUCCAAACUGGGUGUCUAGAGUGUUGGAGAGGAAAGUGGAAUUCCUAGUGUAGCGGUGAAAUGCGUAGAGAUUGGGAAGAACACCAGUGGCGAAGGCGACUUUCUGGACAAUAACUGACGCUGAGGCUCGAAAGCGUGGGGAGCAAACAGGAUUAGAUACCCUGGUAGUCCACGCCGUAAACGAUGGGUACUAGGUGUAGGAGGUAUCGACUCCUCUUGUGCCGCCGUUAACACAAUAAGUACCCCGCCUGGGGAGUACGGUCGCAAGAUUAAA
rnacentral:rRNA from 1 species